rnacentral:rRNA from 1 species
GCUUACGCCAUACCACCCUGAACACGCCCGAUCUCGUCCGUCUCGGAAGCUAAGCCGGGUCGGGCCUGGUUAGUACUUGUAUGGGAGACCGCCUGGGAAUACCAGGUGCUGUAAGCU